CCUACGGGAGGCAGCAGUGAGGAAUAUUGGUCAAUGGGCGCGAGCCUGAACCAGCCAAGUAGCGUGAAGGAUGACUGCCCUACGGGUUGUAAACUUCUUUUAUAAAGGAAUAAAGUGAGGCACGUGUGCCUUUUUGUAUGUACCUUAUGAAUAAGGAUCGGCGAACGCCGUGCCAGCAGCCGCGGUAAUACGGAGGAUCCGAGCGUUCUCCGGAUUUAUUGGGUUUAAAGGGAGCGUAGAUGGGUUGUUAAGUCAGUUGUGAAAGUUUUCGGCUCAACCGUAAAAUUGCAAUUGAUACUGGCAGCCUUGAGUACAGUUGAGGUAGGCGGAAUUCGUUGUGUAGCGGUGAAAUGCUUAGAUCUCAC
rnacentral:rRNA from 1 species